GACGAACGCUGGCGGCGUGCCUACUACAUGCAAGUCGAACGCAGUGGGGACGGGUGCGUAACACGUGGGUAACCUGCCAUCAGAGGGGAUAACACUUGGAAACAGGUGCUAAACCGCUACUGAUGGAUGACCCCGCGGUGCAUUAGCUAGUUGGUGAGGUAACGGCUCACCAAGGCCACGAUGCAUAGCCGACCUGAGAGGGUGAUCGGCCAAACUGGGACUGAGACACGGCCCAGACUCCUACGGGAGGCAGAAGUAGGGAAUCUUCGGCAAUGGACGAAAGUCUGACCUAGCAACGCCGCGUGAGUGAAGAAGGUUUUCGGAUCGUAAAACACUGUUGUUAGAGAAGCGGUAUCUAACCAGAAAGCCACGGCUAACUACGUGCCAGCCGCCGCGGUAAUAC
rnacentral:rRNA from 1 species